rnacentral:rRNA from 1 species
UGGGGAAUAUUGCACAAUGGGCGCAAGCCUGAUGCAGCAACGCCGCGUGAACGAUGAAGGUCUUCGGAUCGUAAAGUUCUGUUGCAGGGGAAGAUAAUGACGGUACCAUGUGAGGAAGCCCCGGCUAACUACGUGCCAGCAGCCGCGGUAAUACGUAGGGGGCUAGCGUUAUCCGGAUUUACUGGGCGUAAAGGGUGCGUAGGUGGUCUUUCAAGUCGGUGGUUAAAGGCUACGGCUCAACCGUAGUUAGCCUCCGAAACUGGAAGACUUGAGUGCAGGAGAGGAAAGUGGAAUUCCCAGUGUAGCGGUGAAAUGCGUAGAUAUUGGGAGGAACACCAGUAGCGAAGGCGGCUUUCUGGACUGCAACUGACACUGAGGCACGAAAGCGUGGGUAGCAAACAGG